rnacentral:rRNA from 1 species
UACGUAGGGUGCGAGCGUUGUCCGGAAUUAUUGGGCGUAAAGGGCUCGUAGGCGGUUUGUCGCGUCGGGAGUGAAAACCCAGGGCUUAACCCUGGGCUGGCUUCCGAUACGGGCAGACUAGAGGUAUGCAGGGGAGAACGGAAUUCCUGGUGUAGCGGUGAAAUGCGCAGAUAUCAGGAGGAACACCCGUAGCGAAGGCGGCACUCUGGGCCGAUUCUGACACUGAGGAGCGAAAGCGUGGGGAGCGAACAGG